UAAGGAAUAUUGGUCAAUGGAGGCAACUCUGAACCAGCCAUGCCGCGUGAAGGAUUAAGGCCCUCUGGGUUGUAAACUUCUUUUAUAUGGGAAGAAAUGUUCUGAUUCUUCAGAGCUUGACGGUACCAUAGGAAUAAGCACCGGCUAACUCCGUGCCAGCAGCCGCGGUAAUACGGAGGGUGCAAGCGUUAUCCGGAUUCACUGGGUUUAAAGGGUGCGUAGGUGGGCAGAUAAGUCAGUGGUGAAAUCUUCCGGCUUAACCGGAAAAUUGCCGUUGAUACUAUUUGUCUUGAAUAUUGUGGAGNUAAGCGGAAUAUGUCAUGUAGCGGUGAAAUGCCUAGAUAUGACAUAGAACACCAAUUGCGAAGGCAGCUUACUACACAAUCAUUGACGCUGAGGCACGAAAGCGUGGGGAUCAAACA
rnacentral:rRNA from 1 species